GUUAUAUGGUCAAGCGAAUAAGCGCACACGGUGGAUGCCUUGGCGGUCAGAGGCGAUGAAGGACGUGGCAGCCUGCGAAAAGUAUCGGGGAGCUGGCAACAAGCUUUGAUCCGGUAAUGUCCGAAUGGGGAAACCCACCCGCUUGCGGGUAUCCUGCAGUGAAUACAUAGCUGCUGGAAGCGAACCUGGUGAACUGAAAUAUCUAAGUAACCAGAGGAAAAGAAAUCAACCGAGAUUCCGUAAGUAGCGACGAGCGAACGCGGACUAGCCCUUAAGCUGAUUUGGUUCUAGGAAAACGCUCUGGAAAGAGCGGCCAUAGAAGGUGAUAGCCCUGUAUCUGAAAGGGCCAUUUCAGUGAAGACGAGUAGGGCGGGGCACGUGAAACCCUGUCUGAACAUGGGGGACCAUCCUCCAAGGCUAAAUACUACUGACCGACCGAUAGUGAACCAGUACCGUGAGGGAAAGGCGAAAAGAACCCCGGAGAGGGGAGUGAAAUAGAACCUGAAACCGUGUGCGUACAAGCAGUAGGAGCUCCGCAAGGAGUGACUGCGUACCUUUUGUAUAAUGGGUCAGCGACUUACUGUUCGUGGCAAGCUUAACCGUAUAGGGGAGGCGAAGGGAAACCGAGUCUGAUAAGGGCGCAUAGUCGCGGGCAGUAGACCCGAAACCGGGUGAUCUAGUCAUGCCCAGGGUGAAGGUGCGGUAACACGCACUGGAGGCCCGAACCCACUCCCGUUGCAAAGGUAGGGGAUGAGGUGUGAUUAGGAGUGAAAAGCUAAUCGAACCCGGAGAUAGCUGGUUCUCCUCGAAAGCUAUUUAGGUAGCGCCUCAUAUGUAUCCUCUCGGGGGUAGAGCACUGUUAUGGCUAGGGGGUCAUCGCGACUUACCAAACCAUUGCAAACUCCGAAUACCGAGACGGACUGUAUGGGAGACACACGGCGGGUGCUAACGUCCGUCGUGAAAAGGGAAACAACCCAGACCCACAGCUAAGGUCCCAAAUUCACUGCUAAGUGGAAAACCAUGUGGAAAGGCACAGACAGCCAGGAGGUUGGCUUAGAAGCAGCCACCCUUUAAAGAAAGCGUAAUAGCUCACUGGUCGAGUCGGUCUGCGGGGAAGAUUUAACGGGGCUAAGCAGUGAACCGAAGCUUGGGGUGCAUAACUUUGUUAUGCGCGGUAGAGGAGCGUUCCGUAAGCCGUUGAAGGUGGAUUGAGAAGUCUGCUGGAGGUAUCGGAAGUGCGAAUGCUGACAUGAGUAACGAUAAUGCGGGUGAAAAACCCGCACGCCGAAAGCCCAAGGUUUCCUUGCGCAACGUUAAUCGGCGCAGGGUGAGUCGGCCCCUAAGGCGAGGACGAAAGUCGUAGUCGAUGGGAAGCAGGUUAAUAUUCCUGCACCUCGCGUAAGUGCGAUGGAGGGACGGAGAAGGUUAGGUGUACCAGGCGUUGGUUGUCCUGGGGAAAGGCGGUAGGUUUGGAUCUUUGGCAAAUCCGGGAUCCUCUAAGACCGAGCACCGAGACGAGCCUUUAUGGCGAAGUCACUGAUACCACGCUUCCAGGAAAAGCUCCUAAGCUUCAGCUUACGCAGACCGUACCGUAAACCGACACAGGUGGGUAGGAUGAGAAUUCUCAGGCGCUUGAGAGAACUCGGGUGAAGGAACUAGGCAACAUGGCACCGUAACUUCGGGAGAAGGUGCACCCUUUUUGGUGGCUCGUGCGAGCUAUAGCUGAAGAGGGUCGCAGUAACCAGGCCGCUGCGACUGUUUAUCAAAAACACAGCACUCUGCAAACACGAAAGUGGACGUAUAGGGUGUGACGCCUGCCCGGUGCUGGAAGGUUAAUUGAUGGGGUCAGCCGCAAGGCGAAGCUCUUGAUCGAAGCCCCAGUAAACGGCGGCCGUAACUAUAACGGUCCUAAGGUAGCGAAAUUCCUUGUCGGGUAAGUUCCGACCUGCACGAAUGGCGUAACGACAGCGGCGCUGUCUCCACCCGAGACUCAGUGAAAUUGAAAUCGCUGUGAAGAUGCAGCGUUCCCGUGGCAAGACGGAAAGACCCCGUGAACCUUUACUAUAGCUUUACACUGAACGUUGAGUUCGUCUGUGUAGGAUAGGUGGGAGGCUAUGAAACUGUGGCGCUAGCUGCAGCGGAGCCAUCCUUGAAAUACCACCCUGUCGUGCUUGACGUUCUAACCUGGGCCCAUUAUCUGGGUCGGGGACCGUGUAUGGUGGGUAGUUUGACUGGGGCGGUCUCCUCCUAAAGAGUAACGGAGGAGCUCGAAGGUACGCUCAGCGCGGUCGGACAUCGCGCACUGUGUGCAAAGGCAUAAGCGUGCUUGACUGCAAGAUCGACGGAUCAAGCAGGUAGGAAACUAGGACUUAGUGAUCCGGUGGUUCUGUAUGGAAGGGCCAUCGCUCAACGGAUAAAAGGUACUCCGGGGAUAACAGGCUGAUACCGCCCAAGAGUUCAUAUCGACGGCGGUGUUUGGCACCUCGAUGUCGGCUCAUCACAUCCUGGGGCUGUAGUCGGUCCCAAGGGUAUGGCUGUUCGCCAUUUAAAGUGGUACGCGAGCUGGGUUCAGAACGUCGUGAGACAGUUCGGUCCCUAUCUGCCAUGGGCGUUGGAGAUUUGAGAGGGGCUGCUCCUAGUACGAGAGGACCGGAGUGGACGAACCUCUGGUGUUCCGGUUGUCACGCCAGUGGCAUUGCCGGGUAGCUAUGUUCGGAAGCGAUAACCGCUGAAAGCAUCUAAGCGGGAAGCGCGCCUCAAGAUGAGAUCUCCCGGGGCACAAGCCCCCUGAAGGAACCAUGUAGACUACGUGGUUGAUAGGUCAGGUGUGUAAGUACAGCAAUGUAUUGAGCUAACUGAUACUAAUGAUCCGUGCGGCUUGACCAUAUAACCU
rnacentral:rRNA from 1 species